rnacentral:rRNA from 1 species
CGCGUAGGCGGAUCGUUAAGUCAGAGGUGAAAUCCCAGGGCUCAACCCUGGAACUGCCCUUGAUACUGGCGAUCUUGAGUAUGAGAGAGGUAUGUGGAACUCCGAGUGUAGAGGUGAAAUUCGUAGAUAUUCGGAAGAACACCAGUGGCGAAGGCGACAUACUGGCUCAUUACUGACGCUGAGGCGCGAAGCUGGGGAGCAAACA